rnacentral:rRNA from 1 species
UGCCGGCGAGCGGCGGACGGGUGAGUAAUGUCUGGGAAACUGCCUGAUGGAGGGGGAUAACUACUGGAAACGGUAGCUAAUACCGCAUGACCUCGCAAGAGCAAAGUGGGGGACCUUCGGGCCUCACGCCAUCGGAUGUGCCCAGAUGGGAUUAGCUAGUAGGUGGGGUAAUGGCUCACCUAGGCGACGAUCCCUAGCUGGUCUGAGAGGAUGACCAGCCACACUGGAACUGAGACACGGUCCAGACUCCUACGGGAGGCAGCAGUGGGGAAUAUUGCACAAUGGGCGCAAGCCUGAUGCAGCCAUGCCGCGUGUGUGAAGAAGGCCUUCGGGUUGUAAAGCACUUUCAGCGAGGAGGAAGGCAGUCGUGUUAAUAGCACGAUUGAUUGACGUUACUCGCAGAAGAAGCACCGGCUAACUCUGUGCCAGCAGCCGCGGUAAUACAGAGGGUGCGAGCGUUAAUCGGAUUUACUGGGCGUAAAGCGUGCGUAGGUGGCCAAUUAAGUCAAAUGUGAAAUCCCCGAGCUUAACUUGGGA